ACGGGUGCGUAACGCGUGGGAAUCUGCCCCUUGGUUCGGAAUAACAGUUGGAAACGACUGCUAAUACCGGAUGAUGACGUAAGUCCAAAGAUUUAUCGCCGAGGGAUGAGCCCGCGUAGGAUUAGGUAGUUGGUGUGGUAAAGGCGCACCAAGCCGACGAUCCUUAGCUGGUCUGAGAGGAUGAUCAACCACACUGGGACUGAGACACGGCCCAGACUCCUACGGGAGGCAGCAGUGAGGAAUAUUGGACAAUGGGCGCAAGCCUGAUCCAGCAAUGCCGCGUGAGUGAUGAAGGCCUUAGGGUUGUAAAGCUCUUUUACCCGGGAUGAUAAUGACAGUACCGGGAGAAUAAGCUCCGGCUAACUCCGUGCCAGCAGCCGCGGUAAUACGGAGGGAGCUAGCGUUAUUCGGAAUUACUGGGCGUAAAGCGCACGUAGGCGGCUUUGUAAGUAAGAGGUGAAAGCCCAGAGCUCAACUCUGGAAUUGCCUUUUAGACUGCAUCGCUUGAAUCAUGGAGAGGUCAGUGGAAUUCCGAGUGUAGAGGUGAAAUUCGUAGG
rnacentral:rRNA from 1 species